rnacentral:rRNA from 1 species
AGAGCGAACGCUGGCGGCAGGCUUAACACAUGCAAGUCGAGCGGGCGUAGCAAUACGUCAGCGGCAGACGGGUGAGUAACGCGUGGGAACGUACCUUUUGGUUCGGAACAACACAGGGAAACUUGUGCUAAUACCGGAUAAGCCCUUACGGGGAAAGAUUUAUCGCCGAAAGAUCGGCCCGCGUCUGAUUAGCUAGUUGGUGAGGUAACGGCUCACCAAGGCGACGAUCAGUAGCUGGUCUGAGAGGAUGAUCAGCCACAUUGGGACUGAGACACGGCCCAAACUCCUACGGAAGGCAGCAGUGGGAAUAUUGGACAAUGGGCGCAAGCCUGAUCCAGCCAUGCCGCGUGAGUGAUGAAGGCCCUAGGGUUGUAAAGCUCUUUUGUGCGGGAAGAUAAUGACGGUACCGCAAGAAUAACGCCCGGCUAACUUCGCGCCAGCAGCCGC